rnacentral:rRNA from 1 species
UCACAUCCUGGGGCUGAAGUCGGUCCCAAGGGUAUGGCUGUUCGCCAUUUAAAGUGGUACGCGAGCUGGGUUUAGAACGUCGUGAGACAGUUCGGUCCCUAUCUGCCGUGGGCGUUGGAAGAUUGAAGGGGGCUGCUCCUAGUACGAGAGGACCGGAGUGGACGAACCUCUGGUGUUCGGGUUGUGUCGCCAGACGCAUUGCCCGGUAGCUAAGUUCGGAAUUGAUAAGCGCUGAAAGCAUCUAAGCGCGAAGCGAGCCCUGAGAUGAGUCUUCCCUGACAGUUUAACUGUCCUAAAGGGUUGUUCGAGACUAGAACGUUGAUAGGCAGGGUGUGUAAGCGUUGUGAGGCGUUGAGCUAACCUGUACUAAUUGCCCGUGAGGCUUAACCAU